CCGUAGGGGUGACCUGCGGAGGGAUCAUUACCGAGUCUAAACAACUCAUCAACCCUGUGAACAUACCUAAAACGUUGCUUCGGCGGGAACAGACGGCCCUGUAACACGGGCCGCCCCCGCCAGAGGACCCCCUAACUCUGUUUGUAUUAUGUUUUUUCUGAGUAAACAAGCAAAUAAAUUAAAACUUUCAACAACGGAUCUCUUGGCUCUGGCAUCGAUGAAGAACGCAGCGAAAUGCGAUAAGUAAUGUGAAUUGCAGAAUUCAGUGAAUCAUCGAAUCUUUGAACGCACAUUGCGCCCGCCAGUAUUCUGGCGGGCAUGCCUGUUCGAGCGUCAUUACAACCCUCAGGCCCCCGGGCCUGGCGUUGGGGAUCGGCGGAAAGCCCCCUGUGGGCAUACGCCGUCCCCUAAAUACAGUGGCGGUCCCGCCGCAGCUUCCAUUGCGUAGUAGCUAACACCUCGCAACUGGAGAGCGGCGCGGCCAAGCCGUAAAACCCCCAACUUCUGAAUGUUGACCUCGAAUCAGGUAGGAAUACCCGCUGAACUUAAGCAUAUCAAAA
rnacentral:rRNA from 1 species